rnacentral:lncRNA from 1 species
CAUUGCUUACAUCAAUAGGGUUUCCCUCCAGUAUGUAUUCUUUUAUGCUCUCAAAGAUUAUGAUGGUGUGCAAAGGCUUUACCAUAUUCAUUACAUUUGUAAGGUUUCUCUCCAGUAUGAAUUCUUUCAUGACUUUGAAGUUGACCAAGAGGCAAAGGAUUUACUACAUUGCUUACAUUCAUAGGGUUUCUCUCCGGUAUGUGUUAUUUUAUGUACUUGGAGAUAACUAUGAUAUGCAAAGGCUUUGCCACAUUGAUUACAUUUGUAUGGUUUCUCUCCAGUAUGAAUUCUUUCAUGACUUUGAAGUUGACCAUGAGAGGCAAAGGAUUUACUACAUUGCUUACAUUCAUAGGGCUUCUCUUCAGUAUGUGUUCUUUUAUGUACAUGGACAGUACUACGAUAUGCAAAUGCUUUACCACAUUGUUUACAUUUGUAAGGUUUCUCUCCAGUAUGACUUCUUUCAUGAAUUUGAAGUUGAUCAUGAGAGGCAAAGGAUUUACUACAUUGCUUACAUCCAUAGGGUUUCUCUCCAGUAUGUGUUCUUUUAUGUACUUGGAGAUAACUAUGAUAUGCAAAUGCUUUACCACAUUGAUCACAUUUGCAAGGUUUCUCUCCAG